rnacentral:rRNA from 1 species
GUCGGCGCAGUAGUUGUAGGAGAGGCAGUUGCGCUCGGCCCAGGCGACGGUCUUGAGCUCCUCCUCGCCGAGCUCGCGGUGCAUCCAGGCGUCGCUGCCGGCGGGGCAGGCCGUCUUGUUGGUGGCCUUGUCGUGGACGCAGCCGUUGGCGUGGUAGGCCUUGUAGGGGACGACGAAGGGGUGGUGGCGCCAGUGGAUCUUGACGGUGCCGUGCUGCGUCGCCCAGUAGCUGCCGUCCCACAGCGUGGCGUGCACCGUCAUGGGCCGGCUCGACGGGAAGGGCAGGCCGUCGUACUUCUUGAAGGUGCGCACGGGCACGCCGUCGACCUCGAAGAUGAUGUUCUUGGGGUUCCAGGUGAUCUUGUAGGUGUGGAAGUCGGCGGAGGGGUCGAACCAGAGGUAGAACUGGUGCUCCUUCUUGCCGUCGCCGCUGGCCCAGACGUUGGUGUUCAUCACGUAGGGGUCGCCGCUGGAGUUGCCCAUGAACUCGAUGUCGAUCUCGUCGUGGGUCGCGCUCUCAAAUAG